GUCCAUGUACUAUCGGGGGCGGGGCUGCCGGGGCUAGAGGAAGAUGGCGGCGCGGACGAGGUGAGAUGUUGGCAGUAGAAAGGGGUUCGGGCGCGGGGACCACGCGGAGGUGCAGCUAUGGCCCGCGCCGGCAGCAGGACCGUGUAAUAAGCCAGCGCGCCGCGGGUGUGGGGGGGAAAGAGUAGAGGGCGCCGCGGGAGUAUGACGGGGCUGUAUGAGCUGGUGUGGCGGGUGCUGCAUGCUCUGCCCUGUCUGCACCGCACGCUCACCUCCUGGAUCCGCGUUCGGCUGGGCACCUGGAACUGGAUCUGGAGGCGCUGCUGCAACGCCGCCUCUGCCGCGGUCCUAGCGCCCCUCGUCUUCACGCUCCGCAAGUCCCUGGCUGCGGGCAGGAACCGCCGGCACCACCGGCAGCCGCGCGGCGGACUCGGCCGGGCCGCCGCCCACCCCCGGCUGCGCUGGCGCGCGGACGGCCGUUCCCUGGAGAAGCUGCCUUUGCACAUGGGCCUGGUGAUCACCGAGGAGGAGCCGGAGCCCAGCUUCUCGGACAUCGCCAGCCUCGUGGUUUGGUGUAUGGCCGUGGGCAUCUCCUACAUUAGCGUCUACGACCACCAAGGUAUUUUUAAGAGAAAUAAUUCCAGGUUGAUGGAUGAAAUUUUAAAGCAGCAGCACGAACUUCUGGGCUUAGAUUGUUCCAAAUACUCACCAGAGUUUGCAAACAGUAAUGACAAAGAUGAUGAAGUUUUAAAUUGCCGCUCGGCAGUGAAGGUGCUGUCUCCGGAAGAUGGAAAAGCAGAUAUUGUGAGAGCUGCUCAGGACUUUUGCCAGUUAGUAGCCCAGCAGCAAAAGAGGUCCACAGAUUUGGAUGUAGAUUUGUUAGACAGUUUACUUAGUACAAAUGGUUUCCCUGAUCCUGAUUUGGUCUUGAAGUUUGGUCCCGUGGACAGCACAUUAGGCUUUCUUCCAUGGCACAUCAGAUUGACUGAGAUUAUCUCUUUGCCUUCCCACCUAAACAUCAGCUAUGAGGACUUUUUCUCUGCCCUUCGUCAAUAUGCAUCUUGUGAACAGCGUCUGGGAAAGUAGUGAUCCCUGGUUGCGUAAUUUGGCUCAGACUUUUGGAGAAAAGGACCCAAGUGACUUUGAUGUUUACAAAGCACCUGUGAAAACCUCGCUGUAGUGUCAAGACACUAAAAUCAAUCUAUAACUUGUGACCAGAGUCUGCUAUAGUCCUAGGAAGAGACCCUCAUAAACAAGUUGCUGAAGACUCAGCAUUGCAGGUCCCCAUGAGGUCAGCUGCUACUAUGAUCUCCACAACUUGAAUAACAUUGGCCAUCCAUUAAUUCCUGCCCAAGUCAUCAUAGAGUUUGCAUUGCAUCAGGAUUCCCUUUGCACUCCCAAGAAGAACUGGUAAUUUUAGCGAGAAGCUUUUGUCUUCAUGUGACAUGUCGAAGGAUGUUGUCUUUAAAUUGCAUCUACUUCUCAUUACUCUUCACUGUGGAAAAAUAAUCAGGUUGAAGCUAUUUUAUUAAUGGCAGCUUGGAGCAGAGAAGAAGUUGGAGAAUAUGAAUUCCAUUUCCAAUUCUAAUUGUGCUUUGUUUAUAAUGUUAGCUGAUGAUGAUGUGAAUGGCGAAAUUCUGACGUCGUGACUAAGGCUUACGAAUGUCUGUCUCUGAGAGGAAGGUGUUAAAAUGUCAAUGAACAGUGCCAAAUACACUGUGCAUAUCUACAAUCUAUCUUUGAAUGUAUGUUACUUGAUUAGCUCCCUCCUGUGUGUUGGUACCAUGCAUAGAGUUAAUCCUUGUGAUGUUUUGUAAGGCUGUAGAAUUGGCAACAUGUAAAUAAUGUGUAAAGCAACUUUUUAUGAUUAAGGAAUCAAAUUUACUGACUUACUGAAAGUUGAAACAACAUGUGUGAGCAAAAACAAAAGAAUAUACUCUUUUCAUGGACUGUAGUAUAUGAAUGCCACAUUUAAUCUGAACAUGUAGGGCCUGUAGAAAUGUAAUGAGAAACUCCUAUCUGGCAUUACUGUUUUUUUUAAAUCUGUUUUUGAUUAAAAUAUACUUUCAUUUUUACCAGGAUAAACAUUUGAAAUCUUAUGAUGUUAUUUCUGUAUUGCUAGAUAACAGCCUUGCCACUACUAAGAUUGUUAAAAUUCCACAAUAAAAAAUCAGAAUUGAUUUUUGCUGAAUACAGAAUACUAAAUUAGCUAUGUAUAUGAGUACUCCUUUAAUCUGACAGUUUCUGUCAAACCAAAAAAAAAAGGGUCAAAGUUGUUUGUCAUAUUGCACAGAGUAUUUAACUUUCUAACAUGAAUGUCUAAUUAUAAGGUGAAUUGAUUGUUAUGUGUUACUUUACUAUGAAGUCAAAAAAUUUCAAAAAUUACAUUUUAACUUUGGUUAACAGGAAAUGCCUUUAAUAAAAGGGGAAAAGUUUAGAAUUCUUUGAAGUAAAACCCAGGAAACAAGACUAAUGUCAGCAGUUGUAUAAGAAUCUUGUUCGAUACACCAUAAACUGAUCAAAUUGGCGGAAUGGUAGGGAGUGUAAACAGAAUUCGUUUGAGAUUUAAAACACACACUCUCAAAAAAAAAAAAAAAAUUGGCAGCCAGGCGAUAGCACAAUGGGUUAAGUGCAUAUGGCGCAAAGCGCAAGGACUGAUGUAAGCAUUCGGGUUCCAGCCCCUGGCACCCCACCUUGGGGGGGGGCGUCACUUCACAACCAGUAUCUUUCUCUCCCUCUCCUUUUCCUCUCUCGUUUUCUUUCCGUCCUAUCCAACUACAACAGCAGUGGCAACAAUAACAAGGGUAACAAAAGGGGAAAAAUGGCUUCCAGGAGCACUGGAUUUGUAGUGCAGGCACCGAGCCCCAGCGAUGACCCUGGAGGCUAAAUAAAUCUAAAAAAAAAAAAUCAGGACAAGAGAGGAAAAUAAACUAUAUUUCAUUAAUUCUUUUAUGACAAUCAGACUUUUUUGUACUUAGUAUUUGGAAAAAAUGAACCUACUGUAACAUUUAGUAAAAGAGAUUCUUUUUAAAUUGCAUACUAUAAAUUGAGAAUCUUGCAUUCUGUUUUGUAUUUAGAUAAUGUGUCUGGAUUUAGACGAUUAUUAACACAGGGAAAUAAAAUGUUUGGAAAAUAA